rnacentral:rRNA from 1 species
GAAUUUUGGACAAUGGGGGCAACCCUGAUCCAGCCAUCCCGCGUGUGCGAUGAAGGCCUUAGGGUUGUAAAGCACUUUUGGCAGGGAAGAAAAGGCUCUGGCUAAUACCUGGAGCUGCCGACGGUACCUGCAGAAUAAGCACCGGCUAACUACGUUCCAGCAGCCGCGGUAAUACGUAGGGUGCAGGCGUUAAUCGGAAUUACUGGGCGUAAGUCGUGCGCAGGCGGUUCGGCAAGAAGGGUGGGAAAUCCCAGGGCUUAACCUUGGAACUGCAUUCUUAACUGCCGGGCUAGAGUAUGUCAGAGGGGGGUAGAAUUCCGCGUGUAGCAGUGAAAUGCGUAGAGAUGCGGAGGAAUACCGAUGGCGAAGGCAGCCCCCUGGGAUAAUACUGACGCUCAUGCACGAACGCGUGGGGAGCAAAC